UGCGUAGGCGGGCUAAUAAGUCAGUGGUGAAAUCUCUCGGCUCAACCGGGAUACUGCCAUUGAUACUGUUAGUCUUGAGUUCGGUUGAGGUAGGCGAAAUGUGUAAUGUAGCGGUGAAAUGCUUAGAUAUUACACAGAACACCAAUUGCGUAGGCAGCUUACUAGACCGACACUGACGCUGAGGCACGAAAGCGUGGGGAGCGAACAGGAUUAGAUACCCUGGUAGUCC
rnacentral:rRNA from 1 species